CUGGCUCAGGAUGAACGCUGGCGGCGUGCUUAACACAUGCAAGUCGAACGGUGAAGCCAAGCUUGCUUGGUGGAUCAGUGGCGAACGGGUGAGUAACACGUGAGCAACCUGCCCUGGACUCUGGGAUAAGCGCUGGAAACGGCGUCUAAUACUGGAUAUGAGCUCUCAUCGCAUGGUGGGGGUUGGAAAGAUUUUUCGGUCUGGGAUGGGCUCGCGGCCUAUCAGCUUGUUGGUGAGGUAAUGGCUCACCAAGGCGUCGACGGGUAGCCGGCCUGAGAGGGUGACCGGCCACACUGGGACUGAGACACGGCCCAGACUCCUACGGGAGGCAGCAGUGGGGAAUAUUGCACAAUGGGCGGAAGCCUGAUGCAGCAACGCCGCGUGAGGGAUGACGGCCUUCGGGUUGUAAACCUCUUUUAGCAGGGAAGAAGCGAGAGUGACGGUACCUGCAGAAAAAGCGCCGGCUAACUACGUGCCAGCAGCCGCGGUAAUACGUAGGGCGCAAGCGUUAUCCGGAAUUAUUGGGCGUAAAGAGCUCGUAGGCGGUUUGUCGCGUCUGCUGUGAAAUCCCGAGGCUCAACCUCGGGCCUGCAGUGGGUACGGGCAGACUA
rnacentral:rRNA from 1 species